CAACCAGUUGAUGUAUGACUUUACUCUGGCACCAAGGGGCAGUAGACAGAGGGGAGGUUCUGGCCAGAUAGUAUUGACUCAGACAAGAUAUCCUUGCCUGCGUCCUUGCAUUCUUUUUCAUCUUUACAGGAGAGCCCUACCCUGGCAUCUGGGCUCCUAGACAACUCUUUUACAUGAAUCACAAGUUACAAAAUCUCAUUUUCCUUCACUAGCUGAGCCAUGUGAGACAGCUUACCACUCACUGGAGGCUUUGUCAUCUUCCAAAAUCCCCUCUGGGCCUUCAGUUUUGACUCUAAAUUCCAUCUUUUUGGCUAGAGCACCUAGUUCUCCUGCCUAGGAAUGUGCAUUUGUAGCACUGGGCACUUGAAAGUAGGGACCACAAUCCAGCAUGACUCAAGCAUCUAUACUUCAAGAACCCAAGAGACUGGAAAACACUGGAAAAAGGUCCUGACUGCCUGCUCAAGUAUGGGUUUCUCUGGUGAUGCACUCUCCCAGGUGAUGGGGUGUAUCUGUCAAGAAAGAGGCUAAGGUGGGGGUGGGGGGCUUUCUGCUGCUGGGAGCCUGUUUUCUUGUCCUUUUUGGAGAGUUAUUUGGCUAGCUUGCUCUAUGACUGUUGGUCCUCUGUCUGAAGCAUCUGUACUGAAUCCUUGUCCCCUUUGGAUGGGAAUAGGGGUCACUGUCACUGACUGCAGUGGCUGAGAGUUCCUGUGGCUCAGGGCUAGCUGCUGGAUAUUGAAGAGUCUAAGCAGCUCUUAGCAUUGUAAAGGUGUGUUUUCCCAUCUGGGUGUAUUGGAUCAUUGCUGGGCGGGAGGACUAUGCUCCACGGAGUCCCUCCAGGACUGAGGCUUCUUUACAUAGAGCCCUUCUUUACUAGAGUUUUGUAAAAGGGUCAAUCUUACCCUCUCUUCCUCCUUAUCUCAUACUGCUUAUGCCAUUGGUCUCAGGUGCUUAAGAUCACCAGACACAUUCCCAUUGUCACAACCCUUUAUUUGAAUGACAUUGCAUGCAGGAGCAUGUCUUCAAGCCAUUGCUCCUCAGAACAAGGUCCUGAGGAUCAAACUCUUCCUUUUCCCUUUUCUACAUCCCAUGGACCCUCAACAGCUCAGAGGUAGCCCUGAAACAUGGAUUGAAGGCUCCCGGGUGGUCUCCAUCCUCCUGAUGCUUAUGCCUUGUUCUUUGCAUCCAAAAUGGGUCACUUGGGAUCUGCUUGAAUGUGAGUUAUGUCAAAGUUCUUGCUGCCUCCAAAUUAGUAUUAGUACAUCGUGGGAACAAGACCAUCUGUGUGUGUGUGUGUGUGUGUGUGUGUGUGUGUGUGUGUGUGUGUGUGUGUGUGUGUAUACUAUAACCACAACAACAAGAAUGUCCAAAACCAAUGCAAAGCAUGAAUUCUAAUUAGCAGCCUGAUACCAUGGAGGAGGCAAAGGCUGGGCAGAGGCACAGCCCUGUGUUCUGGAGCUCCCACCUCUGAAAUAUUUGGUAAGGAGCAGAUCUUCAAGCCAUUGGGAAGGGAAUGAGAAAUAAGGGAAAUUAAACCUCUCCUCCAACACCUCCAAGGCUGUGUGCACUGCAGCCUCCUCCCGGCAGAUAUCUGCACAGCAGGUACCAGGAGUUUGGCAUUCUAGCAGCAUCUGUUAGAUGAUAAAUCACAGACACAGCAGUGAUGUGUGUUCAAUAUGGUGAGUGGAUGCUGCAUGCAUGAGCUGGAAACCAAGGGUCUAUGGCAAGGCUGUGGGGUGCAGGGCUGUUGAUCAUGAAGAGGAGCCACAAGUACAGGGCUAGGUAUGGGGGGCAAUGCAGCUGUUUCCACAUUGCCCUCUCUGGGACUAUCAUACUAACACAAUCCCAUACCCGGUUAUCCUGGAGUCAGGUCCUGGCUCACUUAGGAGAGGUUCUGCAGCUCUCUGAUGAUCAGUUCUCUGGAUAGCAAGAUGUAUCUGAUGGUGACAUUUCUAAGUGAACUCCAGGCCAGUGACACAGUGUAAGUUUCCCUGUGUGAAUGGUUCAGUGGUGAGGAACUUGGAGCUACAUGGAUUCACCGGGUCUAGGUCUUUUCUCUCCAAUACUAGUAUUUGAGCAGGGGACCCCACACCUCCCAUCUUCGUCCAACCUGGCUUCUCUACCUUUUACCUGCUACCACACCAAACUCUGCCCUCUUUCCUGGGGUUUCCUGCUCAUCUUGUUCACAGUUUUGUCUCCUGCCUGAGGGCCUCCUGAGGGCCUGCCUCUGACAGUAACAUCCUAGUAGCCACCUCCUGAGCUCAGCUCAUUGUCCCUUCCUCUAGGUACUCCAGUUCCCUUCUCCCUCCCAUGCCCUCCUUUUCGCUCUCCCUCAUUUAUUCCUUCCUUCCCUCCUUCUUUCCUUCCUUCCUCCUCCUGUCCUUCCUCCCUUCCUUCUCCAUCCAUAUUCCUGGAUUUCCCCAGACAUCUCUUUUUGCACCUCUUGUCCUGCUCACUAAGGGAUUCUUUGGACCAAACAUCACUAGGUAUGCAACCCUCCCACUGUUGGCUGCCCUAUUCUUACCUACACCUCCAUGUUCCCAGGGUGGCUUCAACUUUAUAUGUGUUUUGUUAAUUGAGUUUCCAAAAUGAAUCACCUACAAUAAAACUAGGGCAUUUCUAUCACUUCCCAAAGAGUCAUGAUAUGGUGUUACUCUAUUUUGGGGUGUGGAUUAGAGCCCUGGGUAGUGGACUCCAUAGAGAGCAGCUCAUCUGUAUGCUCAUCCUAGGCCUGUGGUGACCUCUCAGCCACCAGCAGUCACAUUUGUCCUCUUAGGGCAGAGUCUCUGUGGCUGGAGAAGUUGAUAUUGUGUGCUCCUGUUCAGAGCUGAAUGUAGUUAGCUUCUGGGGUUACUUCCAGCUAGCACUGGCCACCCUGUCAUGCUCAAUGUCCAGUGAGCAAGGGAGAGGUUGGCUGACUCGUGGUAGAAGCAAGGCUGUGAGAUGGGAAGUGCAUGUAGCAAGAAAAGAGAGUAUCUGGUAGUAUGCCAUCACCAGGGGACUCAAAAGAGCCUGCAGCCCUUUAUGCAGGUCCUCCAGGACCCUAGUUCUGCGUUUCAGUUGUUUUUUGUUUUCGAGACAGGGUCCUCUCUCUGUAAUCCAGGCUGGCAUGGAGCUCAAAGUUAUCUGGCUGCCUCUGCUUUCUUAUUGCUGGGAUUAGAGCUGUGUACCAGCGCCAAGUCUCUGUCUCUAUUUCUUGUUCCUGAAGCCCCUCCCAGACAGGCCUUAGCUUAUAGUGUUCUAUCAACUCAGAAGUUCUUAGACAUGCCACCAGUCAAGAGUAAGAGGCUGGGCGACUAUGAUUUGGGAAUUCUUCUUCUUUGAGUAGAAAAUGAAAUCUAAGGGGACUGAGAUCCUGGAGAGAGGGCUCUUGCUGUUCUUGUACAGGACCCCAGUUCAGUCCAGUUCCCUACACCCACAUGGUGGCUUAAAAUUUCUGUACUCCAGUUCCAGGGAUCCGGCAUACUACUCAGGCCUCUGCUAGCAGACAGGCAACCUCAGAAUGUAUUAUAUAACAAGAAAAACAUUUGUAACAUACUACAUAAAUAAAUAUUCUUAAAGCUUUGAAAGAGAAAAAAGGAAAAGAACACAUGUACACAUUUUGACAUCUUAAAACUGCAAAUGACGUUUAAUCACAGCACUAGGGAGGCAGAGUCAGGUUGAUUUCUGAGUUUGAGACUAGUCUGGUCUACAAAGUGAGUUUCAGGAGAGCCAGGGCUAUACAGAGAAACCCUGUCUCAAAAAACAAAACAACAACAACAAAAAAAACAAAACAAAAAAACCUGCAAAAGAGCCAGGCUUUCUGGCUCACACCUAUGACUGCUAGACAGGGGAGGCAGGAAGGUAAGGGUGCAGGUUGUCCUCAGCUACGUAGUAAGUUUGAAGUCAGGGUGAGCUACUGUGGGGAGCAGAUGUGGCAGCAGUCCCAAGAUGGCACCCGGGACUGCAGCCAAGUCUUAUGACUUUUCCCUGACUUCCUCAUACACCUGAAAAUAAGCCAUGACCAUCGUGAGAACUGCGCAGGUGCACCAUGAUGCAAGAUCGCACCAUAUGACGAGUGAUGAUUCUGGCCAAUGGACUGCUGUUACAUGGACUGGGCUGAUGGGGCAUGGAUGAGGCAUUAUAUAAGGGAUUGCGAUUCAGGGCGGAGAGAUACACAAGAGACUAUUCCUGGAGAGAGAUUCGUGCAUGCAUGUUGAAAGGUUCCUGAAUAAACUGCUUUGAGAAGAACUUAGUGUCAUCACUUUUUUCUGCUGGUUGGAAUCAGAGGCGACAAAUGGUGGCCCGUGUGGGGACGUUCAGAACUCAUCCCAGUCAGGGCAGCUAGCUGGAUCACCGACAACUGCUGUGGAUCCCAGAGCAGCUGACCAGAGCAAUUCAGGGCAAGCAGAGCGAUGAGGACGUGGAUAUUCCUUUGGCUGGGAAUGCUCCCGCUAGUGAAAACUGAAGAGCUACAUUGGGGAAUUAUGUCUGUGUUCCUGAAAACCAUGCCAUUGACGCAUUUGGCACAAGUGUUUCCUCAAUUCUUUACAUCUAAUGCUUCACUACAAUUGCCUUUUUUAUCAUGGGAUGGAGAGAUAGCUCCAGUGCGGGAAUCUAUGCUGCUUCAGAUAAGGGGAUUGUUGUGUUUUCAGAUGAUUCAAAAUAUUUCACAGAUGAGUGAUUGUGUUCAGCUGUAUCUACUAAAGUUAAUGCUACCUGGAUUCGAGGGGUGUGGCCUGCCAGUAUAUCCAAGGGCAAUAGCACUAUACCCUCCUAACCUAGAUGGACCCUUUUUUGUAGGAGUGUUCGUGAUUCCCUUCCACCUUGGACCAGCUGUCAAUCUAGAAAAGUACCUUGGGCAGUGAAGAAUUAUUUUUCGUUUUCCCCUUAUAUAGGUACAGUCCAUAAUAGUUCCUUUUCAGGGUAUAAUUGGACAUAUCAAAAUCCAGCUCAAGUAGGAGCUAGUAAUCCUUUUAAUGUAUGGUUGUUAGGUGGGGUGAAUGGUAGUUGCACUGAUCUUUCCCCCUUAAGCAUGGUGGCGGGAGGGGCCUGGGGCAAUGCAAGUUUUUAUUGGAAUGGUUCUAAUGUGUUUAAAACUUCUGUAUUUCAAUUUGCUGGAGGGAAGAAUGCUUCAUUUCAGUCUAUGCCUGUUUGUAUGUGGCCUCCUUUUGUUUUUAUUGUUUAUAAUGGUAGUUAUGAGAAUAAUGUUGUUAAUUGAAGUAGUGAUAUUUGUUAUGAUAGUAUGUGCUAGAAUGCAUCUGAAUAUCAUUUAGCUGUUGUGACUAGAAUGCCUCGCUUUGUACCUUGGCCUGUUCAGGCUCCUUCUGCUAUGACUUUGUUUGGACCAAGAGGGAUUUUUGGCAUUGCUGCAGCCAUUGUCACUGCUGUAGCAAUCUCUGCUACUGCAGCCACCGGUGUGGCCACAUCCCUUACAAACUGCCGCGGCUGUGAAUUUAACCGUUGGUGUUGCAGAAGCUUUGGAUUGCUGACCGCUGUCUUCCGCUUGGAAGAGUGAGCUGGAAUUGCUGGACUUGCCCUGUGUCUGAUAUUAAUCAGCAUCCUGGCCUUCUGAUGCACCUGCUGCAAGCAGAGUCGUCAGCGCAGAGCCCAAGCCUUGAUGAUACAGGCUUUUGCGGCAGUGAAAACUGGACAAUCUCCUCAUGUGUGGCUUGACAUGCUAGAGAAGUAGUCAAUGACGGGUAAGACUCCCUGGGCGUGUCACCAACCUAAGACAGGGAUCAAACCAAUGCUGUUUGUCUCCCGAUGAUGGGUAAGGGGCAUUGCCACAGGGUGCAACCUAAGACAGCCAUUCUCUCUGCCAAUAAGUACAGAAGGGGGAGAUGUGAGGAAUGGGUGUGGCAGCAGUCCCAAGAUGGCACCCGGGACUGCAGCCAAGUCUUAUGACUUGUUCCUGACUUCCUCAUACACCUGAAAAUAAGCCACGACCAUCAUGAGAACUGCUCAGGUGCACCAUGAUGCAAGAUCAGACCAUAUGACGAGUGAUGAUUCUGGCCAAUGGACUGCUGUUAUGUGGACUGGGCUGAUGGGGCGUGGUUGAGAGGUUAUAUAAGGGAUUGCAAUUGGGGGUGGAGAGAUACACAAGAGACUGUUCCUGGAGAGAGAUUCAUGAAUGCAUGUUGAAAGGUUCCUGAAUAAACUGCUUUGAGAAGAA